rnacentral:rRNA from 1 species
GACGAACCGUGCGAACGUUGUUCGGAAUCACUGGGCUUAAAGGGCGCGUAGGCGGCUUGUCAAGUCAGGGGUGAAAUCUUUCGGCUCAACCGGAAAAGUGCCCUUGAUACUGACAGGCUCGAGGGAGGUAGGGGCAUGCGGAACUUCUGGUGGAGCGGUGAAAUGCGUUGAUAUCAGAAGGAACGCCGGUGGCGAAAGCGGCGUGCUGGACCUUUCUGACGCUGAGGCGCGAAAGCGUGGGGAGCAAACAGG